AUUGAACGCUGGCGGCAGGCCUAACACAUGCGAGUCGAGCGGAUGAAGGGAGCUUGCUCCUGGAUUCAGCGGCGGACGGGUGAGUAAUGCCUAGGAAUCUGCCUGGUAGUGGGGGAUAACGUCCGGAAACGGGCGCUAAUACCGCAUACGUCCUGAGGGAGAAAGUGGGGGAUCUUCGGACCUCACGCUGUCAGAUGGGCCUAGGUCGGAUUAGCUAGUUGGUGGGGUAAAGGCCUACCAAGGCGACGAUCCGUAACUGGUCUGAGAGGAUGAUCAGUCACACUGGAACUGAGACACGGUCCAGACUCCUACGGGAGGCAGCAGUGGGGAAUAUUGGACAAUGGGCGAAAGCCUGAUCCAGCCAUGCCGCGUGUGUGAAGAAGGUCUUCGGAUUGUAAAGCACUUUAAGUUGGGAGGAAGGGCAGUAAGUUAAUACCUUGCUGUUUUGACGUUACCAACAGAAUAAGCACCGGCUAACUUCGUG
rnacentral:rRNA from 1 species